CGCGCGGUCAGUGCCGCGCCGUCGCAACUUAUGUCAGCACGAAUCUCGUCUCUCGGCCGCCUAGUGACCGCGGCAGUAGGGUCGCGCAUAAGACUGCGUUGCUCUGCGCUAGGGAUCCCUCCGAUAACGAGGCGCUGGGUGCCGCUCCCACAUGCACACACAAUUACAGACACUGGGGACUUAAUAAUUCACAGUAAGUAAAAAAU
rnacentral:misc_RNA from 1 species